rnacentral:rRNA from 1 species
UACGUAGGGUGCAAUCGUUACUCGGAAUUACUGGGCGUAAAGCGUGCGCAGGCGGUGAUGUAAGACAGGUGUGAAAUCCCCGGGCUUAACCUGGGAACUGCAUUUGUGACUGCAUCGCUGGAGUGCGGCAGAGGGGGAUGGAAUUCCGCGUGUAGCAGUGAAAUGCGUAGAUAUGCGGAGGAACACCGAUGGCGAAGGCAAUCCCCUGGGCCUGCACUGACGCUCAUGCACGAAAGCGUGGGGAGCAAACAGG